rnacentral:rRNA from 1 species
GACGAACGCUGGCGGCGUGCCUAAUACAUGCAAGUAGAACGCAGUUUCGAACGGGUGAGUAACGAGUAGGUAACCUGCCUCAUAACGGGGGUUAACUAGUGGAAACGAUAGCUCAUAACGCAUCCGUAGCGAUGGACCUGCGUUGUAUUAGCUAGUUGGUGAGGUAAAGGCUCACCUAGGCGACGAUAAAUAGCCGACCUGAGAGGGUGAUCGGCCACACUUGGACGUAGGCACGGCCCAGACUCCUACGGGAGGCAGCAGUAGGGACUCUUCGGCAAUGGACGGAAGUCUGACCGAGCAACGCCGCGGGAGUGAAGAAGGUUUUCGGGUCGUAAGGCUCUGUUGUGCGCGAAGCGGUGACUAACCAGAAAGGGACGGCUAACUACGUGCCAGCAGCCGCGGUAAUAC